AAAAAGUGUACAAGAUGCUCUUGAUCGUGUGAUGGUGGGAAGAACAACUGUAAUUGUUGCUCAUCGUCUUUCUACCAUUAGGAAUGCUGAUAUAAUAGCGGUCGUAAACAAUGGCAAGAUAGUAGAAACUGGAAGUCACGAGGAGCUUAUUUCAAAACCUAAUAGUGCCUAUGCAUCACUUGUUCAACUUCAGCAAGCAGCUUCUUCACAUCUCCAUCCUUCUCAAGAGCCAACCAUGGGACGACCUCAUAGCAUACGGUAUUCCCGUGAAUUAUCCCGAACGACAACGCGAAGCCGUGGAGCUAGCUUUCGUUCUGAAAAAUCUGUUAGCGGUAUUGGUGCUGGUGAUGUAGAGGAUGUUAAGUCACCAAAUGUUUCCGCAGGGAGAUUGUAUUCUAUGAUUCGUCCUGAAUGGCAUUAUGGAGUUAUUGGAACUAUCUGUGCAUUUAUUGCUGGAGCUCAGAUGCCACUCUUUGCCUUAGGGGUGUCACAGGCCCUUGUGUCUUAUUACAUGGAUUGGGACACAACACGCCAUGAAGUGAAGAAGAUUUGUUUCCUGUUUUGUGUUGGUGCAGUAUUAACCGUCGUCGUUCACGCCAUUGCACAUACUUGCUUUGGAAUCAUAGGGGAGCGGCUUACUCUUCGCGUGAGAGAAAUGAUGUUCUCUGCUAUGCUAAGAAAUGAAAUAGGGUGGUUUGAUGAGGUGAACAACUCAA
rnacentral:misc_RNA from 1 species